rnacentral:rRNA from 1 species
GGGCGUUAAGUUGCAGGGUAUAGACCCGAAACCCGGUGAUCUAGCCAUGGGCAGGUUGAAGGUUGGGUAACACUAACUGGAGGACCGAACCGACUAAUGUUGAAAAAUUAGCGGAUGACCUGUGGCUGGGGGUGAAAGGCCAAUCAAACCGGGAGAUAGCUGGUUCUCCCCGAAAGCUAUUUAGGUAGCGCCUCGUGAAUUCAUCUCCGGGGGUAGAGCACUGUUUCGGCUAGGGGGCCAUCCCGGCUUACCAACCCGAUGCAAACUGCGAAUACCGGAGAAUGUUAUCACGGGAGACACACGGCGGGUGCUAACGUCCGUCGUGAAGAGGGAAACAACCCAGACCGCCAGCUAAGGUCCCAAAGUCAUGGUUAAGUGGGAAACGAUGUGGGAAGGCCCAGACAGCCAGGAUGUUGGCUUAGAAGCAGCCAUCAUUUAAAGAAAGCGUAAUAGCUCACUGGUCGAGUCGGCCUGCGCGGAAGAUGUAACGGGGCUAAACCAUGCACCGAAGCUGCGGCAGCGACGCUGAUGCGUUGUUGGGUAGGGGAGCGUUCUGUAAGCCUGCGAAGGUGGCCUGUGAGGGUUGCUGGAGGUAUCAGAAGUGCGAAUGCUGACAUAAGUAACGAUAAAGCGGGUGAAAAGCCCGCUCGCCGGAAGACCAAGGGUUCCUGUCCAACGUUAAUCGGGGCAGGGUGAGUCGACCCCUAAGGC